UAGUCCACGCCGUAAACGAUGCGCACUAGGUAUAGGAGGGUCUGACCCCGACUGUGCCGCAAGAAAACCAAUAAGUGCGCCGCCUGGGGAGUACGGCCGCAAGGCUAAAACUCAAAGGAAUUGACGGGGGCUCACACAAGCGGUGGAGCAUGUGGAUUAAUUCGAAGCAACGCGAAGAACCUUACCUGGGUUUGACAUGUACGGAUGCCCUUUAGGAAACUAGAGUAAGCUGUCUUCGGAUGAAACGUACACAGGUGCUGCGUGGCUGUCGUCAGCUCGUGCUGUGAAGUGUCGGGUUAAGUCCCUCAACGAGCGAAACCCCUAUCGUUAGUUGCCAGCGGGUAAUGCCGGGGACUCUAGCGAGACCGCGGCGUCAAGUCGGAGGAAGGUGGGGACGACGUCAAGUCAUCAUGGCCCUUAGCCCAGGGGCGUCACACGUGCUACAAUGGGGAGAUACAGAGCGACGCGAGACCGCAAGGGU
rnacentral:rRNA from 1 species